AUUGAACGCUGGCGGCAGGCCUAACACAUGCAAGUCGAGCGGGGUUUUCGGACCUAGCGGCGGACGGGUGAGUAACACGUGGGAACGUGCCUUUAGGUUCGGAAUAGCUCCUGGAAACGGGUGGUAAUGCCGAAUGUGCCCUUCGGGGAAAGAUUUAUCGCCUUUAGAGCGGCCCGCGUCUGAUUAGCUAGUUGGUGAGG
rnacentral:rRNA from 1 species